rnacentral:rRNA from 1 species
CCUACGGAUGGCUGCAGUGGGGAAUAUUGGACAAUGGGGGGAACCCUGAUCCAGCCAUGCCGCGUGUGUGAAGAAGGCCCUCGGGUUGUAAAGCACUUUCAGUGAGGAAGAACGCCUGGUGGUUAAUACCCAUCAGGAAAGACAUCACUCACAGAAGAAGCACCGGCUAACUCCGUGCCAGCAGCCGCGGUAAUACGGAGGGUGCGAGCGUUAAUCGGAAUUACUGGGCGUAAAGCGCGCGUAGGUGGCUUGAUAAGCCGGUUGUGAAAGCCCCGGGCUCAACCUGGGAACGGCAUCCGGAACUGUCAAGCUAGAGUGCAGGAGAGGAAGGUAGAAUUCCCGGUGUAGCGGUGAAAUGCGUAGAGAUCGGGAGGAAUACCAGUGGCGAAGGCGGCCUUCUGGACUGACACUGACACUGAGGUGCGAAAGCGUGGGUAGCAAACAGGAUUAGAUACCCGAGUAGUC